CCAGCCGCCGUCGCAGCGGUCGUAGCCCAGCAGCUUCCACGCCGCGUACAUCUGACCCACCUUGGCUAUCUGGCCGCCAUCUUGUUGACACGCCCGCCACGCCUCGUCGUACGUCAGCUUGCUGGGAUGGAUGAGGCCGGCCCCUCCCUGGAAAAAGUUUGGACACCCCCGUUCUAGAAUGUUCCACUCCUUUUUUGUUCCAUGACCUCCAUGCAGCCCACCUGCUGCCAUCUUUGUCUCUCAUCACCUGCAGGAUGCUUCCAUUUUCUAAUAAAUAUAACUCUCAUCCCA